rfam:Dipodomys ordii ctg_broad_rename0031755, whole genome shotgun sequence.
CUUAAGCCAGAGACCCCGAAAUCAGACGAGCUACCUUAGAACAGCCUACCACAGGGCCAACUCAUCUAUGUGGCAAAAUAGUGAGAAGAUUUUAAGGUAGAGGUGAAAAGCCUAACGAGCCUGAUGAUAGCUGGUUGUCCAAGAAAGAAUCUUAGUUCACCUUAAAACUUACCUGCAUUUCCAAAAUAAAAUUACUGUAAGUUUUAAAGCUAACCUAAAGAGGUACAGCUCUUUAGAUAGAGGAUACAACCUAAAGUAAAGAGUAAUUGAUACAAUAUUCAUAGUAGGCCUAAAAGCAGCCAUCAAUUAAGAAAGCGUUAAAGCUCAACACUAUUAUAUAAUUUAUUCCAAUAAUAUAUUACAUCUCUUACAAAAUAACUGGACCAAUCUAUGA